UACGAAGGGGGCUAGCGUUGCUCGGAAUCACUGGGCGUAAAGCGCACGUAGGCGGAUUGUUAAGUCAGGGGUGAAAUCCUGGAGUUCAACUCCAGAACUGCCUUUGAUACUGGCGAUCUCGAGUCCGGGAGAGGUGAGUGGAACUGCGAGUGUAGAGGUGAAAUUCGUAGAUAUUCGCAAGAACACCAGUGGCGAAGGCGGCUCACUGGCCCGGUACUGACGCUGAGGUGCGAAAGCGUGGGGAGCAAACAGG
rnacentral:rRNA from 1 species